rnacentral:rRNA from 1 species
GCGAAACUCUGACGGAGCAAUACCGCGUGAGGGAAGAAGGCCUGUGGGUUGUACCCCUUUUUUGUUAAGGAAGAUAAUGACGGUACCUGACAAUAAGCAUCGGCUAACUCCGUGCCAGCAGCCGCGGUAAGACGGAGGAUGCAAGCGUUAUUCCGGAAUUAUUGGGCGUAAAGCGUACGUAGGCUGUUUGAUAAGUCUGUUGUCAAAGCACGAGGCUCAACCUUGGAUCGGCAAUGGAAACUGUCAGACUAGAGAGAGAUAUGGCCAGGAAUUCCCGGUGUAGCGGUGAAAUGCGGAGCCUCAGAACACCAAGGUGACAACUGGG